rnacentral:rRNA from 1 species
CCUACGGGCGGCAGCAGUGAGGAAUAUUGGUCAAUGGACGAGAGUCUGAACCAGCCAAGUAGCGUGAAGGAUGACUGCCCUAUGGGUUGUAAACUUCUUUUAUAUGGGAAUAAAAUGUUCCACGUGUGGGAUUUUGUAUGUACCAUAUGAAUAAGGAUCGGCUAACUCCGUACCAGCAGCCGCGGUAAUACGGAGGAUCCGAGCGUUAUCCGGAUUUAUUGGGUUUAAAGGGAGCGUAGGUGGAUUGUUAAGUCAGUUGUGAAAGUUUGCGGCUCAACCGUAAAAUUGCAGUUGAAACUGGCAGUCUUGAGUACAGUAGAGGUGGGCGGAAUUCGUGGUGUAGCGGUGAAAUGCUUAGAUAUCACGAAGAACUCCGAUUGCGAAGGCAGUUCACUGGACUGCAACUGACACUGAGGCUCGAAAGUGUGGGUAUCAAACAGGAUUAGAUACCCCUGUAGUC